rnacentral:misc_RNA from 1 species
UCUCCGUUGGUGAACCAGCGGAGGGAUCAUUACUGGAAUCGCAAGAUCCCACAACCCUGUGAACCUACCGAAACGUUGCCUCGGCGGGUGCCCGGCCUCUGCGCCGGGCGCUGCGCCCGCCGGCGGCCCCCUACUCUGUCCCUGCAGCGUGGCAUCUCAGAGUCCCAGAAAACAAGUCAAAACUUUCAACAACGGAUCUCUUGGCUCUAGCAGCGAUGAAGAACGCAGC